CUCGUCCGUGCAGCCGGGGUCCCUCCUCCUUCACAGCUCACAAGUUGGACACAAGUGAAGGAAAUGCUACAAACUUGAACCUGCGCUUGUGGGGCUGCCUGCCUCGGCCCUCCGCGAGUCCUCCGCGAGCUUCUUGUUUUCUUUUCCUGUCGUUUACUUGGAGCGCAGGACUCUCACUUUCUCCCUCCCUUCCUCCUUCUCCGGUGUCAGUGAGCCACUUUGUUCAGCAGCUUUUCCCCAUGUUUUGUGCAGGAGACGCACUUGGAAAAGCCAGUUGGAUUUGGAAGAUACUGACGCGAACGCACAGCUGCAGCCGUCCCCUCCAUCUCUACACCAGGACCAAUGUCCCCCUCACUCCCUCCCUGCGUGUGCCUGUUACUCUGCCUCUUUUGGGAGGUGGGGGCGCCAUAUGGGAGCUCCAAAAAAUGGAAGUGGAUAGACAGUUCACGGGCUUAGAUUUUGCGCUCUUUGCGGAGGAGAAAAAUAACUGACCUUGUUCCCCCCUGAGUGGAAAACAUCGAUGUUGGUCUAUGAGGCUCUGCCAGUGUCUGUCACAGUAAAAGGAAGGCAAAAACAAUGGCCCAAGCUUUUCCUUCAGGCAGUGAGCGGGACACACUGGGGUCUUUCCUGGUGCUGAUUAGUAUGCGGUCGGCGUUGCUCAGGUGACACGGCCUCUGGAUUCGGUCCUGAAUACAAGAACAUCUCAGCGUAGCAGGGACAGCAGGUAAGGACGAUGAGAACAGACAGAGGAGUCGGAUUAGUGAAAGCGAACUAGUGUUAAAACAGUCUCCCCACAUCCCUCACAUACUGUACCCCAGAUACUUAUAGUCUACUCAUGCUUGUGUUACAGUAAUGUGUGUAAUCUGCAGUUUGUUAUAUAGCCUACGUGUUAAGUAUAUAUGUUUAAAUCUAUUUUUAUUUAACACCUUAUUUAAUGCAUGCUUUUAUUUUAGGUUAGGUUGGUUUAUUUGUAGUCAAAAACCACAUUGGAAAACGUGUGCAAGAAGCUCAAAGUGCACUAUAAAACAUGUAAAAAAAAAAAAUAAAAAAACCCACAUAAAAAAACUACAGCAUAGUUUCAAAUUUAAUAUUAUUGUUCAUUGUUUUACCU